UGCGGGGUGGAGCAGUGGCAGCUCGUUGGGCUCAUAACCCAAAGGUCACAGGUUCAAGUCCUGUCCCCGCUA
rnacentral:tRNA from 1 species